UCCGGUUUGUUUCCGGCGGUCUCCCUAGAUAGUCAACUAAGGACAAGGGUUGCGCUCGUUGCGGGACUUAACCCAACAUCUCACGACACGAGCUGACGACAGCCAUGCAACAUCUGUGCACCCGUCCUUGCGGAGGACCUCCUUUCAGAGGUUUGCGAGUGCAUGUCAAGCCUUGGUAAGGUUCUUCGCGUUGCAUCGAAUUAAACCACACGCUCCGCUGCUUGUGCGGGUCCCCGUCAAUUCCUUUGAGUUUUAGUCUUGCGACCGUACUCCCCAGGCGGGCCACUUAAUGCGUUAGCUUCGGCACGGAAGGGGUCAACACCCCCCACACCUAGUGGCCAUCGUUUACUGCUAGGACUAC
rnacentral:misc_RNA from 1 species